CAAUUCGAAGGUCAUCAACCGUUAAGAAGAAACUUCACUGGAGACUUACUCUUAAGAGAGGAACUUCUCUGGAGACUUAAGAGAGAAGUACAGAAGGUUCAACUCACCAAUUUUAGAAACCCAAUCACUCACUCUGCUAUGUCAUGAGCAGCCCUAUGGAAGGGCCCUGUAGCAAGGGACACAAGCCUCCAGUCAACAGCCACGAGAGUUGAAAGGAACUGUACUCAGGGACCUGUACUUAAGGACUAUACCCAAGGAGCUUCAUCCAUACCAGGAACUGAUUUAGAUUCUGGAGUUCGAGCUAAUGCAUUAGAUCUUGUGGACCUUGGGAGUGCUUCUGAGAAUGCUUCUGAGGCAUCUUGAGUCAGACUCAGGAAGGCUGGGAGGAGGAAGAGAAGGUUCAUCCAGCAUGAAGCAGGCC